UCCUGCAUGGUGUAGUGGUUUGAACAUUGGACUAUGACUCUGGAGACCAGGGUUCGAAUCCCAGCUCAGCCA